AGUCCACCCCUGGGGCGCGCGGCUGUCACCCAGGGCGGGGCGGCGCGGGCGUUGCCACGACGCGGGCCGCGCGCGUCCCUGGCAGCCAACCCGUCCACGUCAAGGUUUGUUUAAUAAUCGCCAGGGUAUCUAUGGCCGGGCUCAGGCGGCUGCUGGGGAGCCAGGAGACCGCGCGGGACGGCGGAUGAGGCGCGGCGGCUGCGGCCCAGGGCACCUCCCCUCUGGCUUCCCGAACCCGGCCAGGUCCGACCCGAGGGGGAGGAUGGAAACACCUGCCGCGCUCUGAGCCCCCCAGAAGAGAACACCCUUCCCGCCAUAUCACCCCACGGUCCUGCGGAGGCCACCGCCUGGUCCCCCCAAGUCUCCAUCGCGCAGCGUGGGGCCGAGAGGAAUAGUGAGCGAUGGCGGAAAACCUGAAAAGACUGGUCUCAAACGAAACUUUACGAACGUUGCAGGAAAAGCUAGACUUCUGGCUGAAGGAGUACAACACAAACACGUGUGAUCAAAAUCUAAACCAUUGCCUUGAACUCAUUGAGCAAGUUGCCAAGGUGCAGGGACAACUCUUUGGGAUCCUCACAGCAGCAGCCCAAGAAGGAGGACGUAAUGAUGGUGUGGAAACAAUCAAGUCACGCCUUUUGCCUUGGCUGGAGGCUUCCUUUACUGCUGCUUCCCUGGGAAAAUCUGUUGACAGCAAGGUCCCCUCUCUGCAGGACACGUUUGAUAGGGAGAGACAUAAAGAUCCCAGUCCUCGGGAUCGGGAUAUGCAACAGUUAGACUCUAAUUUGAACUCAACCCGGAGUCAAUGCAACCAGGUUCAAGACGAUCUGGUUGAAACUGAAAAGAAUCUUGAAGAAAGCAAGAACAGAUCGGCCAUAUCCCUUUUGGCUGCAGAGGAGGAAAUAAAUCAGCUGAAAAAGCAGCUUAAAUCUCUUCAAGCUCAGGAGGAUGCCCGCCACAGAAACACAGAUCAGAGGAGCUCAGAGAAUAGGCGGUCAGAGCCUUGGAGCUUGGAGGAGCGGAAGCGUGAGCAGUGGAACUCACUCAAGCAGAAUGCAGACCAGCAGGACACAGAAGCCAUGUCCGAUUAUAAGAAACAGCUCCGAAACCUGAAGGAGGAGAUAGCUGUUCUGUCUGCUGAGAAAAGUGCACUCCAAGGAAGGUCCUCCAGGAGCCGGUCUCCCAGCCCUGCCCCUCGCAGCCGUAGCUGCAGCCGCAGCAGAUCUGCCAGCCCCUCCACCGCUGUCAAGGUCAGGAGACCGUCCCCAAACCGCUCCAAGCUGUCCAAUGUGGCGCGCAAGGCUGCCCUCUUGUCCCGGUUCAGCGAUUCCUAUUCCCAGGCCCGCCUGGACGCGCAGUGCCUGCUGCGGCGCUGCAUCGACAAGGCUGAGACCGUUCAGCGGAUCAUCUACAUCGCCACAGUGGAGGCAUUCCAUGUAGCAAAAAUGGCAUUCAGACACUUCAAGAUCCAUGUGAGAAAAUCGUUGACACCAUCUUAUGUGGGGUCGAAUGACUUUGAGAAUGCUGUCUUGGAUUAUGUCAUUUGUCAUCUUGAUCUAUAUGAUUCUCAAAGCAGUGUCAAUGAUGUGAUCCGAGCCAUGAAUGUCAAUCCCAAGAUUUCAUUCCCUCCUGUCGUUGACUUUUGCCUUCUCAGUGACUUCAUCCAGGAGAUAUGUUGCAUUGCCUUUGCAAUGCAGGCCUUAGAACCACCCCUAGAUAUUGCAUAUGGAGCAGAUGGAGAAGUUUUUAAUGAUUGCAAAUACCGCCGCAGCUACGACUCGGAUUUCACUGCUCCCUUAGUCCUCUAUCACGUGUGGCCUGCUCUCAUGGAGAAUGACUGUGUCAUUAUGAAGGGAGAAGCUGUCACCAGGAGAGGGGCUUUUGUACGGUGGCCUUGCAUAGUGACAAUUCAUCCCAAGUGUUUGAUUCACAAUGGAAUUCGGUGCGAUCUGUAAGUCGUUGUCGAAGCAGGAGUUUAAGUCCCAUUUGCCCCCGUAGCCAAAUUGGUUUAAACACGAUGUCUCGAAGUCGGAGUCCUUCUCCAAUAAGAUGUGGAUUGCCAAGAUUUUAAAAGCACCAGACCUGCUCCUUUGACCCAGUGCGUGGAAACAGCUGCUUUCUCCAGUGCCGCCAUCUGUCUUCUGUGUCUGCCUCAGACCUCACUUAAGAUAAUGUCAAAAGGCAAUUCUGUGUAUCACCCCACACAGAGAGUUAAAUGUUUUGGCUUGGCGCAUUUGUAACUUUAGAUAUAUUGCAUUCUAUUUUAUUUUAUAGAUACUAAUUCCAUUAAUUUCAUAAAAAUGAUUGUAUAGGCAUUUAGGAUCAUAUUCAUUCGAAGCAAAGUCCGUUACAAAGGUUCAAGAUUUCCAUCUCAAAACACUACGCUCUUUUAUGGGAACUGUGUGAACUGAAGUGGAAAGCAUCUACCAUGCUGAGGCUAAAAGAAAAGAUGAAUCAUUUUAGUUUGCAGAUGGAUCGUAAAUAUAAUUGUUGGUAUCAGCUUUAGCUCAAAACCAAUAUUAGGUGUUUUAAUUUCCUUUUAAGGUUUGGAAGACAGCCCUAAUCUCAGGUUGGGGAGCUCAUGUUAGUAGCAGUGACUUAAGGCUAAGUGUAGAAGAUAAUUUAAGAUACAUUUUCUUUAUAUAUUAGCCAACAAAUUAUAUUUAUUGGUUGGCUUGCUUUUCCGUUCUGAUUUUGAGAGUGCCCAGUUUGGUUUAGUUGACCAAUGAAUGUCAAAGCUACUUAGUUGAGAGAAUUUCCUUGUUCAUAAAUGUAGAGCAGUGAUUUGAUUAGAAGCCAGCUUUGAGAUAAAUGUUAAUUACCUCAUGCAUAUCUCCUGGGAAUAUUUCAAACUGUUUUAAUGCAUGUGUUAUAUAUAAAAGUUUCUUGGGACAUGCUCUUCACCUGUUCUACCUAGUUAUUUGCAAAUUCAGACCUCCUAUUGAACUCUGUCUGACCAAAACUACUUAAACUCAAGGCCCAAAACUAGGGGCACCAUUUACUGAUUUUAAAUUGAGUAUAUAUCCCUUGACUUCUUCACUGUCAAAUACUUUUGAAACUUCACGUUCAAGAUAAGAAUGGAAUGUUGCUUUCUUGCAAUAAGUAAUGUUCUUUCUGCCUUUUUUUCACUUUUAAGUCAGCCUUAAACACAUGCCUCACAAACAUCUACUUUCUCCACAUACCUUUGAGAGAGACACUGAAUUGGCCUCAGCUCAGUUUUGCAUAAGCUUAGUGCCAGAACCAGCACCUGAUGCUUUUCAGGUGAAAAUAAAACAAACAGCUUCUCUAAAGCAUCUUACCCCUGUGCUGGAGGUUUGAGGGACCUCUUCAGUGCCUGCCCCUUGAGUCUAAUGGUCACCACCUCAUUCUGAAGUAUGAGUUGAAUUUUUUGCCCUCUUUGCAUAUUUACAUUAGUCAUCACUUUGAAGCAAUGCAGUGUGCUGGAAGGAGCACUAUCUGCCUAGGUAACUGCUAGUCAUGACUUGGUCAUCAGCUUGCUUUGUGGCACUGAGCAAGUUACUUCACUUCUCUGAGCCUUGGUUUUAUCAUAGGGUGAGGAGGUUGGAUACAAUUAGUGCCCCUCUUAACCCUGCAGACUCAAUGUUCCCUUUUAUAACAAGUAUUUUAUUCUGAAUAUGAAAUGAAAAUUAAAGUUAAUAUAAUCAUCUAUGUGCAUGUAUAAUUUUAAGCAGUGAACAUAGUACCCUAACUAUAAUAUAAAGCAGAAAAAAAGGCAACUUUUAAUAAAAUAAAAUGUAUUUCAAUAAAAAAGCUUGGGUAUAACCACCCUAGAAGAUAAAAUUAAGUCAUUAGAUGGCUGAACCUGCAUGUAGAGCCACCAGCUACAAAUGAAAAUCAAUGUGUGUAUUGGCAACAGAAAAUCACGGUGUUGUCAUUGGAUGUGACUUUCUGAAGUGGUGGGCAAUUCUUGUUAAUGUUUUAAACAAAAAAAAAAAAACCUUACAGUCUUGCCCUGAUUUACACAGCAGUCACAUUCCUGGAAAAUUCAAGUGUUUAUUAAAACUAUGCAACAGUUACUGUGUGUUAUACGUUGAAAGGUCUUCACUAAUAUCUCACUAAGUAAUGAGAAUGCCUACAUAUCAGAAUUUUUUUUUUCAGGAGCCAAGCACAUAUACUGAUUUGGAAAAAGGCACAGGUAGCUCAGUUUAUUUGCUUUCUACCCUGCCUGGCCACUUGCUGUUUCUUCAGUUUCUAAUUUGAGCUGUAACUACACAAGGAAAGCUAAAUAGUCUGGAAAAUUUUUGGAAAGAAUCCACAAAGCCAAAGGAGACUGGCCUAUACUCAUUUUAUCUGGGGAUGUACCUUACCCUUAGAGACUUUGAAAAAUGUGAAGCUCUUAUUUUGUAACCUGGGUAAAUGUUAGUUUCUAGAUUUUCGGCUUAACAUCUAAUAAUAACAUUUAAAAAGUGCUUUUGUAACUAUUAGUUAUUUGCAAUAAAAUGCUUUCCUUCUACAGUCCCAA